CAACUUUCAACAACGGAUCUCUUGGCUCUCGCAUCGAUGAAGAACGCAGCGAAAUGCGAUAAGUAAUGUGAAUUGCAGAAUUCAGUGAAUCAUCGAAUCUUUGAACGCACCUUGCGCUCUUUGGUAUUCCGAAGAGCAUGCCUGUUUGAGUGUCGUGA
rnacentral:rRNA from 1 species